rnacentral:rRNA from 1 species
GACGAACGCUGGCGGCGUGCUUAACACAUGCAAGUCGUACGGUAAGGCCCUUUCGGGGGUACACGAGCGGCGAACGGGUGAGUAACACGUGAGUAACCUGCCCACAACUUUGGGAUAACGCUAGGAAACUGGUGCUAAUACUGGAUAUGUGCUCCUGCUGCAUGGUGGGGGUUGGAAAGCUCCGGCGGUUGUGGAUGGACUCGCGGCCUAUCAGCUUGUUGGUGGGGUAGUGGCCUACCAAGGCGGCGACGGGUAGCCGGCCUGAGAGGGUGACCGGCCACAUUGGGACUGAGAUACGGCCCAGACUCCUACGGGAGGCAGCAGUGGGGAAUAUUGCACAAUGGGCGCAAGCCUGAUGCAGCAACGCCGCGUGCGGGAUGACGGCCUUCGGGUUGUAAACCGCUUUCAGCAGGGACGAAGCUUUUUGUGACGGUACCUGCAGAAGAAGCACCGGCUAACUACGU